rnacentral:rRNA from 1 species
UACAGAGGGUGCGAGCGUUGUCCGGCAUCACUGGGCGUAAAGGGCGCGUAGGCGGCCUGAUAAGUAGGGGGUGAAAUCCUGUGGCUUAACUGCAGGGCUGCCUCCUAGACUGUUAGGCUCGAGCACGGUAGAGGCAGAUGGAAUUCCCGGUGUAGCGGUGGAAUGCGUAGAGAUCGGGAAGAACAUCGGUGGCGAAGGCGGUCUGCUGGGCCGUUGCUGACGCUGAGGCGCGACAGCGUGGGGAGCAAACAGG